rnacentral:sRNA from 1 species
GGCUGCAGCUCCCGGAACAACAGCCACAACAUCAGGAGCAGGAGCGGCAGCGGCGGCGGCGGCAGCAGCCUCCCCCACCCCGAUCCCCACAGUCACCGCCCCGUCCCUGGGGGCGGGCGGAGGGGGCGGCGGCAGCGACGGCAGCGGCGGCGGCUGGACUAAACAGGUCACCUGCAGGUAUUUUAUGCAUGGGGUUUGUAAGGAAGGAGACAACUGUCGCUACUCGCAUGACCUCUCUGACAGUCCGUAUAGUGUAGUGUGCAAGUAUUUUCAGCGAGGGUACUGUAUUUAUGGAGACCGCUGCAGAUAUGAACAUAGCAAGCCAUUGAAACAGGAAGAAGCAAGUGUUACAGAGCUAACUACAAAGUCAUCCCUUGCUGCUUCCUCAAGUCUGUCAUCGAUAGUUGGACCACUUGUUGAAAUGAAUACAGGCGAAGCUGAGUCAAGAAAUUCAAACUUUGCAACUGUAGGAGCAGGUUCAGAGGACUGGGUGAAUGCUAUUGAGUUUGUUCCUGGGCAACCCUACUGUGGCCGUACUGCGCCUUCCUGCACUGAAGCACCCCCGCAGGGCUCAGUGACCAAGGAAGAAUCAGAGAAAGAGCAAACCGCCGUGGAGACAAAGAAGCAGCUGUGCCCCUAUGCUGCAGUGGGAGAGUGCCGAUACGGGGAGAACUGUGUGUAUCUCCACGGGGAUUCUUGUGACAUGUGUGGGCUGCAGGUCCUGCAUCCGAUGGAUGCUGCCCAGAGAUCACAGCAUAUCAAAUCGUGCAUUGAGGCCCAUGAGAAGGACAUGGAGCUCUCAUUUGCCGUGCAGCGCAGCAAGGACAUGGUGUGUGGGAUCUGCAUGGAGGUGGUCUAUGAGAAAGCCAACCCCAGUGAGCGCCGCUUCGGGAUCCUCUCCAACUGCAACCACACCUACUGUCUCAAGUGCAUUCGCAAGUGGAGGAGUGCUAAGCAAUUUGAGAGCAAGAUCAUAAAGUCCUGCCCAGAAUGCCGGAUCACAUCUAACUUUGUCAUUCCAAGUGAGUACUGGGUGGAGGAGAAAGAAGAGAAGCAGAAACUCAUUCUGAAAUACAAGGAGGCAAUGAGGUAUGAGCACUGCAGCCUUUUCUCAAGCGAAGAGCCCAACAAAGCUUGGGUUGACUUUGAAAAGAAUGGUGCUGCAUUAUACACUCCUACCUCCUUCCUACCCUUCUUUGACUUCCCAGGACAGUUUAUUUUGUCACCCUGAUAACACCCAGUAUAUAUCUUGCUAUAACACAGUCCUUGGGGUCUGCACCAAGGGACUGUGUUAUAAAGAGGUCUCUACUGUUGACAAGUACGGCCCCACGAGUGGGGUUCUACCUUAUUCUGAAUCCAUGUCAUAGCUGUCCUAUGUUCUCGUGUGUUGGCUUUCUAGAAGAUUUGCUCUCUCUGGCAUCUGCUUGUACUAGAGCUAUUAACCAGCAUAGACUUGAACAGAGUUACCGGUUUCUGGUUGGUAUUUCUUGCAUUGGCACACACAUGUUUAUAAGAACACAUCUUGGGGAGGGCUGUAAGCUGACAUACUGGUUCUAUCCCUACCUGUUUAACGAAACCCCGGAUGAUAGUCAAAUACAGACCUGAAAUCCACUGUGAAUAAGGGUUGCGAUAUUUUCCUUUCCAGCAACAAGGCGUGCAGGUAUUUUGAUGAAGGACGUGGGAGCUGCCCAUUUGGAGGGAACUGUUUUUACAAGCAUGCGUACCCUGAUGGCCGUAGAGAGGAGCCACAGAGACAGAAAGUGGGAACAUCAAGCAGAUACCGGGCCCAACGAAGGAACCACUUCUGGGAACUCAUUGAGGAAAGAGAGAACAGCAACCCCUUUGACAACGAUGAAGAAGAGGUUGUCACCUUUGAGCUGGGCGAGAUGUUGCUUAUGCUUUUGGCUGCAGGUGGGGACGACGAACUAACAGACUCUGAAGAUGAGUGGGACUUGUUUCAUGAUGAGCUGGAAGAUUUUUAUGACUUGGAUCUAUAGCAACCUUGCGUGGUGUGUGAACUGGUCUGCUGACCCCAGACAGCAGCUGUCCCCUGUGGUGGUGUGGCAGUGCCUGUGUUCUCUCCUAGGCAGGCCUCUCAACUCCAGGUGCUGUCUUAAGAAUUUUUACCCAGGGCCUGUCUUCUCAACCCCUCACCUUUCCCUGAGGAGUGUGUUGUUUUCCCUGUUGAAAAAAGUUACAAAAAUAAAUCUUAAAGUUAGUUUUUUGUAACACGAAUUUAACUGUCAGACAGUUAGUGUAGGUGUGUUGCGUCAUCUGUUUUCAACCAGAUUGCGUUUAUGGACUUUUCACACACUCAUUUUGAGGACCCCAGGUUCAAAAGUAAAAGCAGUGGCCCUGCUUUGGGGUCCAAGAAUAGGAGUGAUGGGUGAAGGGACCUAAGCUGGCCAAUAGCCCUCUGCCUCAGACAUGGGAUGUGGAUCCUUGAGGUUUCUGGUGAAAUCUGCACAUCUGUGAUUUUAUAUCUGUUCCCUACCCUGUAAUCCCUACCACGUGCACUUGUUCUGUGGUUUUGGUCUCUUGUUUAAUUGCACACAAAUAAUACUACUGGGUAACCAGAAUCAGGUGUGAAUGUGUUGAGAUUUUUACUGUUUCGCAUGAUAGGAAAAUUGAGAAAGAAUACAUAUAAAAUAUACAGAGGCAUAACAUCAAUGCAGAGUUGGAAGUUGACUCCCAAGGGCUGACAUGGUGUGUGUGAGUGUGGGUGUGUGAUAAGCUUCUCAUCCCUGCAUAGAUGCAGUAUUCUUAGCCUUAGAAAAACCUGGUUUAGUGGUUUAAGCCUUGUGUGGCAGAUAGAUCUUAAAGGGCAAAGCAGUAUAUUGGUAGUUGUCAAUAUAGCAGUGCUAGCUCUGUCUAUAUAAAUAGAGAAAUGGGGUUAGCCAUAGAGGUUAAAACUACCUGGUUAUCCCAUAUAUUAACACAAACUGGGUCUUGGAUACACAGUUGUAUUUAAUGUUUUACGAUCUAGCCUUUCCAGUACAGGCACUUUCUGAGAAACCUUUGUCCUCAUUUGAGGCAUUUUGUUGUCGGGUUUUUGUGUUUGUUUUUGUGGGUAUUUGCCUCAUUCCACCCCUGAGCUUUCAGGUAGACAGAUGUGAUUCAAAACUCUGUUCUAAGGUGUUUAUUGUAGUGGAGUAAUGGGUUUGCAGUGAUAAGUCAUACUUUUCCACCAAAGGGGAGGGCUUGGGAAUCCCUGAGACUAGCUAAAGUUAAGUUGUUGGAAGAAUUCCUUGAUUGGAAAUUUUACCUUUGUGUUUUGUUGCUCUGUUUCCUGAAAAUAACUCGGGGAUGCUCCUGGUUUGUCCAUCUACUGCUUUGAUUCCUUGGAUCCCACCCAUUCUUUCACUUUAAGAAAAAACAAAUAAUUGUUGCAGAGGUCUCUGUAUUUUGCAGCUGCCCUUUUGUAAGAAGCACUUUUCCCAAAUAAAACAAUUAAAAAAAAAAGUUG